rnacentral:lncRNA from 1 species
AUUGUGCAAAGUCCACAUGCUUUGGACUGCCUCUUAUUUUGGCUUAGAAAAGCUCCAAACAUAACUGAAUGAGUAGAUAAAAGAAUUUUUAAGAUGUCUUAAAGCUCUUCAUACAACAAGGGCUACAACUAAGCAGCUAAUAUGAAACAAGUCUCUAAAAUCAUAGAAUCGUUGAAUGGUUAGAUUUGGAAGGGAUCUUAAAGAUCCUCUAGUUCAAGAAUAUUUUUGAUAUGAUCUUAUUUUGUUUAUUGAAGCAGUGGUAGCAUGCAAGUCAAACACUUUUCAAGUUCAACAGCAUUUGCAAGUGAGUAGUGGGAGAGUUUUGAGCCCUUGCUGCCAAAAAUAAGUCAGCAGGUAAGCAUUCUGGAGCUACCACAGGUUAAUCAUUAUAUAUACCGUAUAACACCAGUUUACUUAUAUUACUACCAAGCAUAGUAAGACAUCAAAGUCAGCACUCCCAUAUAGUGAAAUGGUAUUUCCUAAAGAAGCCACCAAAGAGCUAGCAGCUAGGCAAGCCAUUUUUUUUGUUUGAUUUUCCUAUACAGGGAAAGAACCAGAACUCUGAGAUUAACACCUUUGUUUCUAGACAAAUUUCUAAAAAAUUGUUUAUACUUGACCCAGAUUUUAGCUAAUUAAAAUCAAGCAAUUUGCCUUUCUUUCAGAUCUAUUGGAAUUCAGCGAGGAAAUUAAUUUAUUGAAGCAUGAAAAUCCCAUACGGAGCCACACAGAAGGGAAAGCUCAUUAAACUAUGCAGCAAUUAGAACACACGCAGAACACUUGAACUUACCUCCAACAUGUUAAUAGGUCCCAGUUCUGAAACAAGAGGAAUAUUUUGCUGCAAGAAUGCAACGGAACAGGAAAGUCUUUCCACCCACUCCUCUCUGGCCAAGCUGAAAGAAUGGGGUUCUUUUAGACUCCAUACUGAUAGUGUUGUAAAAGAGUAAUGGUAAAGAUAAUAAAAGGAGCUACAGAAACA